rnacentral:misc_RNA from 1 species
UAUGAAGAACGUAGCGAAAUGCGAUAAGUAAUGUGAAUUGCAGAAUUCAGUGAAUCAUCGAAUCUUUGAACGCACAUUGCGCCCGGCAGUACUCUGCCGGGCAUGCCUGUUCGAGCGUCAUUUCAACCCUCAAGCCCUGCUUGGUGUUGGGGUCCCACGGCCGCCGUGGGCCCUGAAAGGAAGUGGCGGGCUCGCUACAACUCCGAGCGUAGUAAUUCAUUAUCUCGCUUAGGGCGUUGGGCGGCGCUCCUGCCGUUAAAGAACCAUCUUUAACUCAAGGUUGACCUCGGAUCAGGUAGGAAUACCCGCUGAACUUAAGCAUAUCAAUAAGCGGAGGA